rnacentral:rRNA from 1 species
GACGAACCGUGCGAACGUUAUUCGGAAUCACUGGGCUUAAAGGGCGCGUAGGCGGGCGGCCAAGUCAGAGGUGAAAGCUCCCAGCUCAACUGGGGAAGUGCCUUUGAUACUGGUCGUCUCGAGGGAGAUAGGGGCGUGCGGAACUUCCGGUGGAGCGGUGAAAUGCGUAGAUAUCGGAAGGAACACCGGUGGCGAAAGCGGCGCGCUGGAUCUCUUCUGACGCUGAGGCGCGAAAGCCAGGGGAGCGAACAGG